rnacentral:rRNA from 1 species
UACGUAGGCAGCAAGCGUUGUUCGGAAUUACUGGGCGUAAAGAGUGUGUAGGUGGUGUCGUAAGUUUGGUGUGAAAUCUCCCGGCUUAACUGGGAGGGUGCGCCGAAGACUGCGAUGCUGGAGUAUGGGAGAGGAAAGCGGAAGUUCCUGGUGUAGCGGUGAAAUGCGUAGAUAUCAGGAGGAACACCGUGCGGUGUAGACGGCCUUCUGGACCAUUACUGACACUGGAGAACACGAAAGCGUGGGUAGCAAACAGG